CUACGUGCCAGCAGCCGCGGUAAUACGGAGGGUGCGAGCGUUAAUCGGAAUAACUGGGCGUAAAGGGCACGCAGGCGGUGACUUAAGUGAGGUGUGAAAGCCCCGGGCUUAACCUGGGAAUUGCAUUUCAUACUGGGUCGCUAGAGUACUUUAGGGAGGGGUAGAAUUCCACGUGUAGCGGUGAAAUGCGUAGAGAUGUGGAGGAAUACCGAAGGCGAAGGCAGCCCCUUGGGAAUGUACUGACGCUCAUGUGCGAAAGCGUGGGGAGCAAACAGGAUUAGAUACCCUGGUGGUCCACGCUGUAAACGAUGUCGAUUUGGGGGUUGAACUUUAAGUUUGGCGCCCGUAGCUAACGUGAUAAAUCGACCGCCUGGGGAGUACGGCCGCAAGGUUAAAACUCAAAUGAAUUGACGGGGGCCCGCACAAGCGGUGGAGCAUGUGGUUUAAUUCGAUGCAACGCGAAGAACCUUACCUACUCUUGACAUCCAGAGAACAUUC
rnacentral:rRNA from 1 species